rnacentral:rRNA from 1 species
UUUACACAUGCAAGUCGAGCGGCAGCGCGGGGCAACCUGGCGGCGAGCGGCGAACGGGUGAGUAAUGCAUCGGAACAUGUCCAUGUCGUGGGGGAUAGCCCGGCGAAAGCCGGAUUAAUACCGCAUACGCUCGAGAGAGGGAAGCCGGGGACCGCAAGGCCUGGCGCGAUUGGGUUGGCCGAUGUCCGAUUAGCUAGUUGGUGAGGUAAAGGCUUACCAAGGCGAUGAUCGGUAGCUGGUCUGAGAUGAUGAUCAGCCACACUGGGACUGAGACACGGCCCAGACUCCUACGGGAGGCAGCAGUGGGGAAUUUUGGACAAUGGGGGCAACCCUGAUCCAGCCAUUCCGCGUGAGUGAAGAAGGCCUUCGGGUUGUAAAGCUCUUUUGUCCGGAGCGAAACGGUGCUGGUGAAUAUCCAGCGCUACUGACGGUACCGGAAGAAUAAGCACCGGCUAACUACGUGCCAGCAGCCGCGGUAAUACGUAGGGUGCGAGCGUUAAUCGGAAUUACUGGGCGUAAAGCGUGCGCAGGCGGUUUUGUAAGCCAGUCGUGAAAUCCCCGGGCUCAACCUGGGAAUGGCGAUUGGGACUGCAAGGCUUGAGUAUGGCAGAGGAGACUGGAAUUCCUGGUGUAGCAGUGAAAUGCGUAGAUAUCAGGAGGAAUACCGAUGCGAAGGCAGGUCUCUGGGCUGAUACUGACGCUCAUGCACGAAAGCGUGGGGAGCAAACAGGAUUAGAUACCCUGGUAGUCCACGCCCUAAACGAUGUCGACUGGUUGUUGGGGGUUUGACACCUUCAGUAACGAAGCUAACGCGUGAAGUCGACCGCCUGGGGAGUACGGCCGCAAGGUUAAAACUCAAAGGAAUUGACGGGGACCCGCACAAGCGGUGGAUUAUGUGGAUUAAUUCGAUGCAACGCGAAAAACCUUACCUACCCUUGACAUGUCCUGGAGCCCGGAGAGAUCCGGGUGUGCCCGAAAGGGAACGGGAACACAGGUGCUGCAUGGCUGUCGUCAGCUCGUGUCGUGAGGUGUUGGGUUAAGUCCCGCAACGAGCGCAACCCUUGCCAUUAGUUGCUACAUUCAGUUGGGCACUCUAAUGGGACUGCCGGUGACAAACCGGAGGAAGGUGGGGAUGACGUCAAGUCCUCAUGGCCCUUAUGGGUAGGGCUUCACACGUAAUACAAUGGUCGGUACAGAGGGUUGCCAAAGCGCGAGCUGGAGCCAAUCCCAGAAAGCCGAUCGUAGUCCGGAUUGCAGUCUGCAACUCGACUGCAUGAAGUCGGAAUCGCUAGUAAUCGCGGAUCAGCAUGUCGCGGUGAAUACGUUCCCGGGUCUUGUACACACCGCCCGUCACACCAUGGGAGCGGGUUUCACCAGAAGCCGGUAGCCUAACCGCAAGGAAGGCGCCGACCACGG